AUGAACGCUGGCGGCGUGCCUAAUACAUGCAAGUCGAGCGAACAGAUGAGGAGCUUGCUCCUCUGACGUUAGCGGCGGACGGGUGAGUAACACGUGGAUAACCUACCUAUAAGACUGGGAUAACUUCGGGAAACCGGAGCUAAUACCGGAUAAUAUAUUGAACCGCAUGGUUCAAUAGUGAAAGACGGUUUUGCUGUCACUUAUAGAUGGAUCCGCGCCGCAUUAGCUAGUUGGUAAGGUAACGGCUUACCAAGGCAACGAUGCGUAGCCGACCUGAGAGGGUGAUCGGCCACACUGGAACUGAGACACGGUCCAGACUCCUACGGGAGGCAGCUGUAGGGAAUCUUCCGCAAAGGGCGAAAGCCUGACGGAGCAACGCCGCGUGAGUGAUGAAGGUCUUCGGAUCGUAAAACUCUGUUAUUAGGGAAGAACAAAUGUGUAAGUAACUAUGCACGUCUUGACGGUACCUAAUCAGAAAGCCACGGCUAACUACGUG
rnacentral:rRNA from 1 species